rnacentral:rRNA from 1 species
CUUUACCGAGUGUCGAGGUAGGCCGACACUGUUUACUUUGAACAAAUUAGAGUGCUUAAAGCAGGCUCUUAAAUCAGCCUGAAUAGACGUGCAUGGAAUAAUGGAACAGGACCUUGGUUCUAUUUUGUUGGUUUUCGGAAUCCAAGGUAAUGAUCAAUAAGGACAGGCGGGGGCAUUCGUAUUGCGACGUUA